CCUAAACCCCAAAUCCCUAAAAAGCCUGUCUCUCCCACCGCCCCUCAAAGGAUCUUCCAGCGCCCGCCGCACGCGGCUACUUUGGCGAGCUCGGCGAGGGAGGCGGAGGGCUCGAGGCAGGGGGAGGCUUCUUUGGCAACCUAGAAUCCAUCUCCCACAGCUGCGAAGAGAGACGACGCGGCAGAGAGAGACGACGCGGCGGGGGUGGCGGGAGCGGAGGUUCGCAGCAAGCUUGGUAUAGCUCCGUGAGCACUAGCACAAGCACACCCGAGUCACCUCAGUUCCAAUUCCAUAUUACCAGAAAAAGUGGGCUUCCAUUUCAGACCUGAGCAAGAUGAUGUUGCCGAUCGUUAGUGUUCUCUGCACAUAUAAUUUUCGCCAUCCUCGUCGUCUUGCCAUGAUAGAUCCUAAAUAGCAAGCCUGGAUGUGGUGUUGCAUUCGUAAGGACGAAAUUGCUGAAUUAUAUCAUAGGGAGCAUAGUUGAGAAAACAUUCCAAGCUGGAACUAAGGUAAAUACAUAGAUAAAUUAUAUCUUUAAGGCUCUUGAAAUUCGCAUUCUUUAGCACUGGGUAUAUAUUUGCUCAUUGAUUGUAUCAUGGUAGGUGGCAUAUCGAAGAAACAGAGCAUUAUAUAAUGAUAUUGCUCAUCAAUAUCUAUUUUCUAAGACUUCAAAUGCAUUAUGUUUUAAUAUAUUUUUCAUAAUUUAUAACUUAUUCAAGGGAUAAAUAUAUGACAUUCGUUGAAUUUUCACGCCUUUGUGAAUAAGUCUCUAAAAUCGAUGUUUUGAUGUUGAUCCUUUUAACUUGUAUAAAGUGGAUUAUUCAUAAUUGCUUAUCUAAGGAGGAAUAUGUUUGCAUAUCCUAGAUAUUUUUCUUCUUCUUAAUUUGUUGUAACUUGAAACCAAUGUCUCUGCAAAUAUUAUGCAUAUUUUCGAGAAUUAUAGUGUUGCUAGUGUCAGAGCCAUAUUAAUUUGGUAUAAUAUUUAUGUUAGUAUCAAAUACGGAUUUUCUAUUUGUUUUCAGAUAUACAUAAAAGGUUAUUAGGUAUAGCUGGAAAAUAUAUGGCAUGAACUAAUUAAGAGCUUUUGAGAAGUAAUGUGAGCAUAUCUAGUGUAUUAUACUUGAAAAAUUAUCCAUGUUUGUGAUGUGGAUACAGAUUCAGAUAGAAUAUUUCAUGUGUUUCUGGAUGCUACAUAAAUAUGGAUAUGGGUCCCAAUACAAGUUAGAUUAGCUAAUGUAAAUUGAUAUCCUGUAGUGUUCUGAAAAGUUAACCAUUGGAGCAAUUACAGUUUCGAUGACUCGUCAACUUUACUAAUGAGUGUCAGGACAAGUUUGAACUAUUUUGACGCAAAAUUGAUGUCAUAGACAGAACCGAAAUGGGAAUUAUAUGUUGGUGGAACAUGUUAGUAGGCUUAAUUAAGGACAAGGGGGUAUUGUACCUCUCUUCAACUACCCUUGAUUGAGAAUUUUGGCCUCUAGUGCACAGCAGAUUGUGAGUCUCCUUUUCUCUCUCUUUAAUAUCCUUUUCCCUCUCUUACUCAUCCUCUUCUUCUUAUUCACUUCCUGCUUUUUCUCCCUGCUGGACUCCUCCCUGCGCAUGGUGUAGUGCUGCAGUUUCCAUCCACCGCCAGCAAGUAGUGCUGUCCAAUAGCAAUAUUAGCAGCACCAGCUAUAGAGUAGCUGCAGCUGAGGAGUAGCAGUAACACACUGCAGCCUCUAGCAACUUCAGCAACAGGAUUUCAGCUCUUGGCUUGGCUCCUAUUGCAGGAUUGGGGGAAAUUGGAUCUUCCACUUGGCCUUUUGGAAAUUGGUUCGAGUUAAUUGUUGGAGAGGAGCAACGAGAUCAAUUUCCUUCUCUUAAUUAUAGGUUUGUAGAGAGUAAUUGCUGAAUUUUCAUGUGUAAGGUGAAAAUUCAGCAUUUGAGGAUUUUCUUGAGUUUUAGUGAUCUAUUUCCUAAAUUCAAAUUGUUGGCAACAAAUUGAAUUCUUGGAGGCGUUUUUGUGGGAGAGAGAAUCGUGUGGACUUCAAUCUUCAACUCCAUUUCAUGUAUCAUAAUAUUAAUUGCUAUUUUUAUGCAUUGAUGCCGAAUUAGAGCUUCAUGCGGUCUAAUUGUGUGUUGGAGUUGAAUUACCACAUUCCUUGCAUGCUUGAAUUACCACAUUCCUUGCAUGCAUUUCAGCGUGUGUCAAGUGCAGACUCAUUGAAUGUGGAAGGUUAUCACACAUUUCGCGGGGGAUUUUGGAACUACUUCAGUAUGGAUAGUUCAUCCCAGAGAGGACUCUUGAGCUCUAGGUCAGUGUGGAGGCAUCCGUAGCAGAGGCGGCGCGGCUUCUAUAUCUCUCGGCUUCGCCGACCGCUAUACAAAAAAUCAGUCUUCAUUUGAUUCCUGGACUUGGGUUAAUUGCACUAAUUAGAAUUGUUCUUUUAUUUCUCAUGCAAAGCCGAGAUGUCUACAUCUUGGUAAGCUUAUUGUCUACAUCCUGGUAAGCUUAUUUUCUUGUUGUUGCCUUCUGGAAUAGAUCCAGGAUAUGCUUGGUUUGAUUUUGUUUCGUUCAUAUUUGAUUUGCCUUCUGGAAUGCAUAGAUCCACAUUUGUUUUUAUUUAGCAUCUAAUUUUCUAAUUCUGAAACUUUGACUCAUCAAAAGUUUGAGAAAGAAA